CUUUUCACGUGAAGCUAGAUAAACCGGGUCUGUCUCCGCUCAGUUGAAGGGUUCGGCCGCGUUAGUAAGGAAGUACUCUGAUCUCGCCGUUCAGUCGUGUACCGCGAUCUCAACGAGCAGCAUCUCCGCACCGGCUUACUAUAUACCGACGAACAUGUCUGAACAACUAUCCGAAGGACAGUCCUGGCCUGAGCUUAAGGGCAAGACGUGGGCGGAAGCUGAAAAAUAUUUGAAGGAGAAUCAUCCUAAUCUGGAUGUAAUCAGGACACCUGAGAAUUCAGGGAUAACCAUGGAUCUGCGGAUGGACCGGGUACGUGUGUUCGUGGACGAUAAUGACAAGGUGGUGGACGUCCCUGUGACUGGAUAAGCCGUGCAUUUACUACGUUUAAUACUGUUGUCUAAACAUGCUUACAAGAGGCAUAAGCUGGGGCAGAUAUAAACUCAAAAGAUUUUGCAGUGAACAUGUUAUGUAAAUGCCUUCAUGGAGACGUCUUUGUCCAGCUGUUAUUGUUCUCCACUGCAUGGAAAUGUAUGGAGACUCACGUUGUUCCAAAUUGAUAUGUUGCCUUCUUUGUGAAUUGUGUUCGCCACAAGACUAUUGCUACGUGUCUGUGUUAACUAAAGUGUACAUGCCUAGAAAAAUGGUUAUAAAUGCCGUUUUUAUAAACAGCUUUACAGCUUCCGUUUUUGUUGACAAUUAUAUUCUCAACCAUU